rnacentral:rRNA from 1 species
AACGAACGCUGGCGGCAUGCCUAACACAUGCAAGUCGAACGAAGCCUUCGGGCUUAGUGGCGCACGGGUGCGUAACGCGUGGGAAUCUGCCCUUGGGUUCGGAAUAACAGUUAGAAAUGACUGCUAAUACCGGAUGAUGUCUUCGGACCAAAGAUUUAUCGCCCAAGGAUGAGCCCGCGUCGGAUUAGCUAGUUGGUGAGGUAAAGGCUCACCAAGGCGACGAUCCGUAGCUGGUCUGAGAGGAUGAUCAGCCACACUGGGACUGAGACACGGCCCAGACUCCUACGGGAGGCAGCAGUGGGGAAUAUUGGACAAUGGGCGAAAGCCUGAUCCAGCAAUGCCGCGUGAGUGAUGAAGGCCUUAGGGUUGUAAAGCUCUUUUGUCCGGGAAGAUAAUGACUGUACCGGAAGAAUAAGCCUCGGCAAACUUCGUGCCAGCAGCCGCCGUAAUAC